CCUGUUUUGAAUAAAUGGAUAGUGUAUAGUUAUUUUUAAAGUAAACAGAGGAGUCAGGAGUGCAAGCAAAAGUGAAGUUCGUAAAAUUCUGCAGAAUGUGGCAUGAACUUUUUUGCUACGUUUCCUUACAGAGAAGUGUUCAGAGAAAUAUUAUAGUUCAGUGGCAUAUGUCAUCAUCAGAGAGUACAGUGCAGUGCAAGAAAUAAUAAUGCGGGUACGCACAUUGGUCAUGCAGUCAAACCUUGAAACUAACCCACAAAUCUGUACUCCUUCUGAAGGAAGACAGUGUAGCGGUGGUGACAGUGAAUCUGCCACCCACCAACUAUGAACUACAUUUUGUACCAAUAAGACAUGCAUUUAUUUUUAUCUGUUGCAAAGCCACCUGCAUUUAGCUAGUACCCCCCCCCCAACUGUUUCAAAAUAUAAGGCUUAUUUUGAGGGCACAAAGAUUAAGAAUUGUUAGAAUAGGUGUCGAAUAUACUAGUCCUAUUUGGUUACGGUUGGACUUGGAGUUGUAAUAGGUGUUAGGGGUAGAGUUAGAGUCGGACUCUGUAACCUGUCAUCUCUCUUAAAUAGAGAGGGGGCACCACAAUGUAAUCAUGGCGACUACAAUGUAGCGUAGACACGCAGGGAGAUGAUGGCGGCAUGGCCAUGGACUCGUAGCGGCUAGGAGCUAUAUUGGUUGGGGAGGAGCGCCCAUAAUCAGAGCCCCGGGGAUGUAGGCUUCGGCUGAACCUCGUUAACAAAUAUCGUGUGUUCCUGUGUCGUCAUCUGGCAUGUCUUGGGUGAUUAAUGAUUGAAGCGAUCGAGAAGGUUAGUCGUCGUUCCGCUAUAUCGGCUAACUUUUAUAACAAGUGGUAUCAGAGCAGAAGGUUUCAACAUUGGAUCAAGAAGACAUGUGGAGGAGGAAACACGAGGUGGGGGUCGCGCAUCGACAGGAGAUCGUCAGCCGUGGCGAUGAGAUCGAUGGCGACAACGAGGACGUUGCGGAGGUGACAACCUCGCUCGCGAUCAGACCGGCGAUGGCGGAACUUGACCGGAAGACGGGGCCGAGCGUGGCCGAAGGCGACCGGAGAGAUCGGAGGGGUAGCGCCAUGGACGGCGCGCCCGACGCACGCGGCGAACGCGGCAGGGAGGCCAGUGACGGAAGGGCGAAGCCGGCGAGCGUGGCACGGCGCGGCGGACGUGCAAGGCCGAUGACGACGGGAUCGUGGACGGAAAACAUGAGGGCUGCGACUGCGGUGCGUGCAGAGGCACGAACGACACGUAUGUGUACGUGUCACAUGCAUACAGUACGCGUACAGAUGGUGGCCAAGAGCAAGAGAUAUGCACGAGUUGUUGCAAGCAUGCAGGAUAUUAAUUCCAUGCAUGGAUUAAUUAGUUGCAUCUUAAUGCAUGAGUGCAUACGAUUUCAAUUGGAUUUGUGUGGGACACGUACAAGCUGCGUGCAUGCAUGGGCAUGCAGAACAGACGACGUGGAUUGCUGCCGUGAGAGAAGAUGUGAGGAGAAGUCAAACAUCAAAGGCCUAAUUCCGUGUGGGAGCUGGUCAGGAGACCGUUUCUGAUAAGGCACGAAAUUAUGUCAUCGACGCGGACUCGGCUUGACGUGUCCAUCCGGACUCGAAGUCGAUCUGGACUCGGUAUCCCGGUGGCUGAUGCUAUUUAAGGAGCGGUCAGGACGUGAACCUAUGGCAGAAAAGGCGACGGGCAAUUGAUCGAGACACUCGUAAGCUUACCACGGAAGGCACAAAUCUGGGCUCAAGGCAAGAUCGUACAGCAGGCGUACAGGUGUGUGCAAACCGGACAGAACCAAAAGCAGGACGGAGAAAAACCGUGAAGCAGAUUAGUUGGAUCGGUGCGGCGGCGGACAGGUGGUUUGCUGUUGAAUGUCUGAGAUCGGAUCACAAGACGGGAUUGUGAAGACGAAUACGGACGGUUCUGAGAAGGGCGAGUAUUCUGGUGGCGACAGACCAGUCAGGUCGCGGGUUGGCAAGAUGGCGCCGACAGGUAUGAAAUUUGAUUUGGUGAAGUUUGACGGCUCUGGAAAUUUUGGCUUGUGGCAAACUAGGGUCAAAGAUUUGUUAGCUCAACAAGGUGCUUCAAAGGCUUUGAAGGGUGUCAAACCGGCCAAGAUGGAGGAUGACGAUUGGGAGGAGAUGCAGUUGCAGGUGGCUGCGACAAUAAGGCUAUGUCUUUCAGAUCAGGUCAUGUACCAUGUGAUGGAGGAGACCUCACCAAAGAUAAUUUGGGAAAAGUUGGAAGCUCAGUUUAUGUCCAAGACUCUGACAAUAAACUGUAUCUGAAGCAGAAGUUGUAUGGGCUAAAGAUGCAGGAAGGGGUGGAUCUGACAGCACAUGUGAACGUUUUCAAUCAACUAGUCACAGAUCUUGUGAAGAUGGAUGUGGAAGUUGACGAUGAAGACAAGGCCAUAGUUCUUUUGUGUUCGUUACCUGAAUCGUAUGAGCAUGUGGUGACUACUUUGACGUACGGCAAGGAGACCAUCAAAACUAAAGAUCACUUCUGCGUUGUUGGCUCGUGAUCAGAUGAGAAAGAACAAAGAGGGUGAAACAUCUCAAGCGGAGGGUUUGCUAGUCAAAGAAGAUCAUGCUGGGCAUAAGGUAAAGAAGAACAAAAAGAAGAAGGUGGUGCAGUGCUUCAGAUGUGAUGAGUGGGGGCAUAUAAGCAAGAAGUGCCCAAUACUGAAGGGAAAAGCUAAGGCUAAUGCAGCGACUUCUUCAAAUGACUCAGAUAGCGAUGGUUGUGAUCUUCUCAAAAUGUCAAGUGCACAGUCUAAGGAUGCAGAAGCGUGGAUAUUAGAUUCAGCUAGCUCGUUUCACGUGACGCCAAGGAAGGAGUGGUUCUUUUCAUACAAGUCUAGUGAGUUUGGUUUUGUCUACUUAGGCGAUGACACAAGUUAUCCAGCCGUGGGAGUAGGUGAAGUCAAAAUCAAGCUAGAAGAUGGAGGUGAACAUGUUCUUCAGGGUGUCAGGCAUGUACCAGGGCUAAAGAGGAAUCUGAUUUCGCUUGGAACCUUGCAUGAAGAAGGGUUAAUAUUUCGCGGUAAUCGGAAUAAGAAGACCAUGGAGAUCAUGAAGGGCAAGACGACUGUGAUGACUGGAGAGAAGGUGGAGUCGCAACUUUACAAGCUGCGAGGGUGCACUAUUGCAGGUGGAGUCCAGGAGGAAGCGGUUGCUGGGAUAGCAAUUGCUUUUGGUGGCGGCGGGUCUGGCGCAGACUCGUCGGGCGGCUUGCGGUGAAGCUGCGAAGAAGACAACCCAAGUCUAGAGGAUAGGUGGAUCGGCAUGGUGAUUCUACUACUUCUAGGUGGCUUAUAUUCGCCAAGGUGGAGUUUGUUAGAAUAGGUGUCGAAUAUACUAGUCCUAUUUGGUUACAGUUGGACUUGGAGUUGUAAUAGGUGUUAGGGGUAGAGUUAGAGUCGGACUCUGUAACCUGUCAUCUCUCUUAAAUAGAGAGGGGGGCACGACAAUGUAAUCAUGGCGACUACAAUGUAGCGUAGACACGCAGGGAGAUGAUGGCGGCUUGGCCAUGGACUCGUAGCGGCUAGGAGCUAUAUUGGUUGGGGAGGAGCACCCAUAAUCAGAGCCCCGGGGAUGUAGGCUUCGGCUGAACCUCGUUAACAAAUAUCGUGUGUUCCUGAGUCGUCAUCUGACAUGUCUUGGGUGAUCAAUGAUUGAAGCGAUCGAGAAGGUUAGUCGUCGUUACUCUAUAUCAGCUAACUUUUAUAACAAUAAUUGUACAGAACCAAGAGAAAGAGCAGUUAAAUUGACCAUCCUACCAUACUUAAAUACCUUAGAAAUAGCUAAAUAGAUGGUUAGUGAGAUGCUUCUUAUAAAUGCAGGAGAGACACUAGUAAUAAUUAUGGACAUAUAAGGAAUAUAGUUAAUAAAUUUGCAUGGAGCCCAUAUAUCUUGCAAAAGUUUGAAAAACUAUACGCCUAACAGAAACAAACGAUGGAGUGUAUGCAAAAAAAAAAAAGAUCUGAUAUGUGAAAAUGGUACUAGUAGAUUUGUUAUGGAAAAUACCUUCACGUAGUUAGAUUUUAAUUUUUUUUUAUAAAUGUAUUGUUAGAAAAGGAUUUUUUUUUAUGAAUGUGUUGUUAGAAAAGGAAUGAUCACACAUGUUCAACAAG
rnacentral:lncRNA from 1 species